CCAGCAAGCAGCGGUAAUACGUAGGGUCCGAGCGUUGUCCGGAAUUAUUGGGCGGUAAAGGGCUCGUAGGCGGUUUGUCACGUCGGGAGUGAAAACUCAGGGCUUAACCCUGAGCGUGCUUCCGAUACGGGCUGACUAGAGGGAUGCAGGGGAGAACGGAAUUCCUGGUGUAGCGGUGGAAUGCGCAGAUAUCAGGAGGAACACCGGUGGCGAAGGCGGUUCUCUGGGCAUUUCCUGACGCUGAGGAGCGAAAGCAUGGGGAGCGAACAGGAUUAGAUACCCUGGUAGUCCAUGCCGUAAACGUUGGGCGCUAGGUGUGGGGACCUUCCACGGUUUCCGUGCCGCAGCUAACGCAUUAAGCGCCCCGCCUGGGGAGUACGGCCGCAAGGCUAAAACUCAAAGGAAUUGACGGGGGCCCGCACAAGCGGCGGAGCAUGCUGAUUAAUUCGAUGCAACGCGAAGAACCUUACCUGGGUUUGACAUAUGCCGGAAAGCGCCAGAGAUGGUGCCCCUUUUUGUCGGUAUACAGGUGGUGCAUGGCUGUCGUCAGCUCGUGUCGUGAGAUGUUGGGUUAAGUCCCGCAACGAGCGCAACCCUCGUCCUAUGUUGCCAGCACGUCAUGGUGGGGACUCAUAGGAGACUGCCGGGGUCAACUCGGAGGAAGGUGGGGAUGACGUCAAGUCAUCAUGCCCCUUAUGUCCAGGGCUUCAAGCAUGCUACAAUGGCCGGUACAAUGGGCUGCGAUACCGCGAGGUGGAGCGAAUCCCAAAAAGCCGGUCUCAGUUCGGAUUGGGGUCUGCAACUCGACCCCAUGAAGUCGGAGUCGCUAGUAAUCGCAGAUCAGCAACGCUGCGGUGAAUACGUUCCCGGGCCUUGUACACACCGCCCGUCACGUCAUGAAAGUCGGCAACACCCGAAGCCGGUGGCCUAACCCUUGUGGAGGGAGC
rnacentral:rRNA from 1 species